rnacentral:rRNA from 1 species
UCUAGGAGCCAUAUCACUCUGCAACUCACAACUAGCAACCCACUGAAGCUAAGUAGGUGUGAUCCUGGUCAGUACCUGGAUGGGAGACCUCCUGGGAAAAACUAAGGCUGCUGCUGGAA